UCCCUUGAAUGCAUGAGUGAAGACCCAUGCGGUCCUCGGUGUGAUAGAUAUCUACGCCAUGGACCUGCGUGGACAGUGCUUUGCUUCGAACGGUCCCCUAGCUUGGGACGAACUAUAUCGACCACUUGACCUCAAAUCAGGCGGGACUACCCGCUGAACUUAAGCAUAUCAAUAAGCGGAGGAAAAGAAACUAACAAGGAUUCCCCUAGUAACUGCGAGUGAAGCGGGAAGAGCUCAAAUUUAAAAUCUGGCGGCUUUGCCGUCCGAGUUGUAAUUUAGAGAAGCGUUUUCCGCGCCGGACCGUGUACAAGUCUCCUGGAACGGAGCGUCACAGAGGGUGAGAAUCCCGUCUUUGACACGGACCCCCGGUGCUCUGUGAUACGCUCUCGAAGAGUCGAGUUGUUUGGGAAUGCAGCUCAAAAUGGGUGGUGAACUCCAUCUAAAGCUAAAUAUUGGCGAGAGACCGAUAGCGAACAAGUACCGUGAGGGAAAGAUGAAAAGCACUUUGGAAAGAGAGUGAAACAGUACGUGAAAUUGCUGAAAGGGAAACGCUUGAAGUCAGUCGCGUCCGCCGGAAUUCAGCCCCUGUGGUGUACUUUCCGACGGACGGGCCAGCAUCACUUUCGAUUGCCGGAAAAGGGCAGAGGGAACGUGGCACCUCCGGGUGUGUUAUAGCCCUCUGUCGUAUACGGUGGCUGGGAGUGAGGACCGCCUAUCUUGUAGGAUGCUGGCGUAAUGGCUUUAAACGACCCGUCUUGAAACACGGACCAAGGAGUCUAACAUGCCCGCGAGUGUUCGGGUGGAAAACCCG
rnacentral:rRNA from 1 species